AAAAAGGGCUUCUGCCGUGAUUGGCACAGGAGGGGUGGGGAAUUCCACCCUUUCUGCGGAAUCGCCAUCAAGAGAUUUCGGAAGCAUAAUUUUUACACCAGGGGUUGCUAAUAACCUACUGUUUUGGCGCCCCG
ensembl:snRNA U11 spliceosomal RNA